CCUACGGGAGGCAGCAGUGGGGAAUUUUGGACAAUGGGGGCAACCCUGAUCCAGCAAUGCCGCGUGAGUGAAGAAGGCCUUCGGGUUGUAAAGCUCUUUUGUCAGGGAAGAAACGGGUGGGGCUAAUAUCCUCAUCUAAUGACGGUACCUGAAGAAUAAGCACCGGCUAACUACGUGCCAGCAGCCGCGGUAAUACGUAGGGUGCAAGCGUUAAUCGGAAUUACUGGGCGUAAAGCGUGCGCAGGCGGUUAUGUAAGUCAGAUGUGAAAUCCCCGGGCUCAACCUGGGAACUGCAUUUGAGACUGCAUGGCUAGAGUGUGUCAGAGGGGGGUAGAAUUCCACGUGUAGCAGUGAAAUGCGUAGAUAUGUGGAGGAAUACCGAUGGCGAAGGCAGCCCCCUGGGAUAACACUGACGCUCAUGCACGAAAGCGUGGGGAGCAAACAGGAUUAGAUACCCUGGUAGUCCACGCCCUAAACGAUGUCUACUAGUUGUCGGGACUUAAUUGUCUUGGUAACGCAGCUAACGCGUGAAGUAGACCGCCUGGGGAGUACGGUCGCAAGAUUAAAACCUUAAAGUAGAAUUGGACGGNGNGAGAGAGACGACGACGACGACGGAGGGAGGAGG
rnacentral:rRNA from 1 species